rnacentral:rRNA from 1 species
UACGUAUGGUGCAAGCGUUAUCCGGAUUUACUGGGCGUAAAGGGAGCGCAGGCGGCACGCCAAGUCUGAUGUGAAACCCCGGGGCUCAACCCCGGGCAUGCAUUGGAAACUGGCGAGCUAGAGUGCCGGAGAGGUAAGCGGAAUUCCUAGUGUAGCGGUGAAAUGCGUAGAUAUUAGGAGGAACACCAGUGGCGAAGGCGGCUUACUGGACGGCAACUGACGCUGAGGCUCGAAAGCGUGGGGAGCAAACAGGAUUAGAAACCCGUGUAGUCCACAUCGGGUGCCAGCAGCCGCGGUA